GAUCCCGUAGCUCAGUCGGCAGAGCACCUGACUUUUAAUCAGGUUGUCGCGCGUUCGAUUCGCGCCGGGAUCA
rnacentral:tRNA from 2 species